UACGUAGGGCGCAAGCGUUGUCCGGAAUUAUUGGGCGUAAAGAGCUCGUAGGCGGCCUGUCGCGUCUGCUGUGAAAUCCCGGGGCUUAACCCCGGGCGUGCAGUGGAUACGGGCUGGCUGGAGGCAGGCAGGGGAGAACGGAAUUCCCGGUGUAGCGGUGAAAUGCGCAGAUAUCAGGAGGAACACCGAUGGCGAAGGCAGAUCUCUGGGCCGUAACUGACGCUGAGGAGCGAAAGCAUGGGGAGCGAACAGG
rnacentral:rRNA from 1 species